rnacentral:tRNA from 1 species
GGGCGGCUAGCUCAGUUGGUUAGAGUGCAGCGUUGACAUCGCUGAGGUCACUGGUUCGAUUCCAGUGCCGCCCACCA